rnacentral:rRNA from 1 species
CCUACGGGAGGCAGCAGUGAGGAAUAUUGGUCAAUGGACGAGAGUCUGAACCAGCCAAGUAGCGUGAAGGAUGACUGCCCUAUGGGUUGUAAACGUCUUUUAUAAAGGAAUAAAACGAGGCACGUGUGCCUUUUUGCAUGUACUUUAUGAAUAAGGAUCGGCUAACUCCGUGCCAGCAGCCGCGGUAAUACGGAGGAUCCGAGCGUUAUCCGGAUUUAUUGGGUUUAAAGGGAGCGUAGAUGGGUUGUUAAGUCAGUUGUGAAAGUUUGCGGCUCAACCGUAAAAUUGCAAUUGAUACUGGCAGUCGUGAGUACAGUUGAGGUAAGCGGAAUUCGUGGUGUAGCGGUGAAAUGCUUAGAUAUCACGAAGAACCCCGAUUGCGAAGGCAGCUUACUAAACUGUGACUGACAUUGAUGCUCGAAAGUGUGGGUAUCAAACAGGAUUAGAUACCCCUGUAGUC